GAUGCGCAGGCACUGAAAAUGCCCCUCUUCAAUCAAAGAUUUGAUCAGCUCAGGUGAUAUUCUACUAGAGUAAGCAGUAUUCAGCACAACGUUUAAUUUAUCUAUGAGCUUAAUUAUUUCGUUGUACAGAUUUGUUGUUUCCGAUGGAUGAGUCCAUGAUUGACUCUGCUUUGAACUGCUUACAGGGAUGAAUAUUUCAAUACAUUGGAAUAACUAUUUAAAACGAAGCAUCAUUCCCUGGUGAUAUUGCCAGGACUGUGGAUGUCUCAAGAACCCACCUGGAAAAUAUUGGUAGACCCUCUCGCAGACAACCUACAGGAUUGUCCAACAAAACAAGUCAAAUCUCACAAGAGCACAACGUGCUUCUACACAAGAAAAGCAUCGAAAGCAAUCAUCUGUCCGUCCCUGGCAAUAAAAUUCUUCAAUCGUUUGCUGCCAUCAUUGCCUCUCGAUGGCAGUGUCUUGCUUCUCCCCUCUCCCUCACUUCUGAAGACAUUGUGAGCAUCAAGAGAGAGACAAGAGGAUCAGAGCCAACCAGACAAGCACUCGUCAUGCUACAUGGUCAUACACUUUCCGUGUUUCAUAUUUGUACCACAUUAUGUGUAGAUAUUUAGCUGCAUGCAUUCAAUUGCACUUACAUACUGUAGUAUAGCUGUUCAAUCCAACACAUGUUUGUGUCACUGAACUUUUAGAAUUCAUGCCUUGCCACGUAAGCAAAGAUUACUUACUGCUGCACUUUCAAUUGUCUAAUUAUAUGCAACACCUUACGUCCUUCAAAAUUAGCACAUUUUUGUUACACUGUUACAGUUAUUCUAUUUUGACAUGAAUGAAAUGAAUUUUUGCACUCA